CGAUUCCCACGAGCCCCGCGGAGGUUUUGAGACUGGAGGUGGGAGUGGGUUGCCGGCGCGUCCCGGCGGCCGCGACCCCGCUGGGGCGCAGUAACCCGGAGAAGUCUGACAACAUUCCAUUUUACAAGGAUGCUCUACACCCAAGACUUUUUGAAGCUGCCUUCUCAGCAGGGACAGACAUGAAAAUGUGACCCCUACUGUAUUAGCAGAAAACUAAGAAAACACUGGUGAACAUUCCUGAAAAAAAUCCCCAUUAUGGUGGAGCUUACCUGCUAGUGAAAAGGUCAGUCAUUUAAAAUGUGACUUAGGGGGCGCCUGGGUG